UCUUCCGCAAUGGACGAAAGUCUGACGGAGCAACGCCGCGUGAGUGAUGAAGGUUUUCGGAUCGUAAAACACUGUUGUUAGGGAAGAACAAGUACCGUUCGAAUAGGGCGGCACCUUGACGGUACCUAACCAGAAAGCCACGGUUAACUACGUGCUCGCAGCCGCGGAAAAACGUAGGUGGCAAGCGUUGUCCGGAAUUAUGGGGCGUAAAGCGCGCGCAGGCGGUUUCUUAAGUCUGAUGUGAAAGCCCCCGGCUCAACCGGGGAGGGUCAUUGGAAACUGGGGAACUUGAGUGCAGAAGAGGAGAGUGGAAUUCCACGUGUAGCGGUGAAAUGCGUAGAGAUGUAGAGGAACACCAGUGGUGAAGGCGACUCUCUGGUCUGUAACUGACGCUGAGGCGCGAAAGCGUGGGGAGCGAACAG
rnacentral:rRNA from 1 species